GAUAAACGCUGGCGGCGUGCAUAACACAUGCAAGUCGAACGAAGUGGCGAACGGGUGAGUAACACGUGAGUAACCUGCCUUACACAAGGGGAUAGCCUUUGAAAACGAAGAAUAAUACCCUAUAGUGUAAGAUGGACUUGCGUCUGAUUAGCUAGUUGGUGAGAUAACGGCCCACCAAGGCAACGAUCAGUAGCAGGCUUGGGAGAAUGGACGGCAACAUUGGGACGGGGACACGGCCCAAACUCGACCGGAGGCAGCAGGGGGGAAUUUUGCACAAUGGGGGAAUCCCUGAUGCAUCGAGGCCGUGUGAUUUAGAAGGCCUUCGGGUUGUAAAAAUCUUUUUUAUGGGAUGCAGUACCAUAAGAAUAAGGUCCGGCUAAAUACGUGCCAGCAGCCGCGGUAAUUC
rnacentral:rRNA from 1 species